rnacentral:lncRNA from 11 species
GUCUUGCAUGGUAGAAGGAGGUUGUACUGGAUUAUUCUUAGGGCUGUCUGGAAACAUGAGGAUUCCAUGAUAUUGUUAUUAGCAUUAUCAUUCUCAAGAGGCUGCAUGGCCAUCUGUUGGGAAUGUUUGGAUUGUGUUCUCCAUGGCAGGAAGGGGUUGGACUGGAUGGCCUUUAGGGGUCUCCUAUCUGUGUGACUGUAGGAUUCUAUUAUUAUUUUUAUGGUGGAGAUUGUGGAGAUAAGCACCAAAACAUCAUGUUAGACAACACAUUUGGUAGAAAAAGUAGUUCAAUAUGCAGUAAUGUUAUGUUGUAAUUACUGUAUUUACGAAUUUAGCCCCAAAAUAUCAUGAUAUAUUGAAAACAUUGACUACAAAAAUGGCUUGGAUAAUCCAGAAACCUGGAUAAGCGAGGCUUGGAUAAGUGAGACUGUACUGUAAAUAAUUCGGAUGAUGGGUGGGUGCUAGGACCCAGGGGACAGCUUUUUUCCCAUUGCCUGCCUUCCCUCUUCCCUGCCGGCCUGGAUAAUCCAGAAACUUGGAUAAGCGAGGCUUGGAUAAGUGAGACUCUACUGUAAAUAAUUCGGAUGAUGGGCGGGCGCUAGGACCCAGGGGACAGCUUUUUCCCAUUGCCUGCCUUCCCUCUUGCCGGCCGGCCAUUAUACUUUCUCUUUCCCUCCCGGCAUGGCUCCCGGUGGUGCGUUGUGGGUUCUGUCCAUGUGGAGGUGCGUGACGUGAUUUUGUGUUGUUUCAACCUUAAGGUAAUCAAGAAGGCAGAGCCACACCACUCUUUAGCCCAAACAAACAGUGGGAAAUCUGAUUUACCUGAAGAAGCAACGAAACUGGCCUAUACCCGGGAAACCAGUCGAAACCAUCCCCGGCACCACAGAUCACUUGGCCAUCCCAGAUACCCUACAACGGAUUGGUAUCAACAUCUAAAAACAACAACCUAUUCAUUUGACCCUUAAGACAUUGAUGUAUGUCUGGUAUCCAGGAGCUACUCUGAGAAGAACUGAUAAAGAUGAUAUAUUAAUUACUUAACUGUCUUUUUCUACGCUUGAGAAUACCAUUAAAAUAGCAGUAGAUUCUGCUUGUUUUUCAUUUAUUUGAUUGGAUAAGAUUGUAACCAAUCUAGAGACUACAACAGUUUUAUGUGAAUACUUAUGUGAAGGGUUGUCUUGUUGUACAUAUAUAUGUUAAGAACUGUUUAUUUAUCUCGAUUCAACGCUGCGACAACUAUUUUGAGUGUUAUUAAGUCAACAAUAAGACUUUGUUAGGUUUUUAUUUUUAUUUGACAGAACAGACACUGAAACUAUAAAGAGGAAUAGUUUUUCCAGAAUAUCUGUGUAAGUGUUGCUGAGUGUAUUGCAUUUAUGUUAAGAAUCAUACUAAUGUAGUCAAAGUAAAUACAGGUAGUGGAUACCUAAAGUAAAAUAUUCAUUGUAAUAUAUAUUAUCAGUAAAUGUAAGAGAUUCUAGAGGGCUAUGUGUCAUGGGACCAAUUCCAAGAGCUGAGUUUGCAAGCUCUUGAAUCGGAGCCAUAACAAUUCGCACUCCUCUAUAGCUCCUACGGACACCUGGCAGCAAAGCAUGGGAACUUCUGGAGAGAGAAUCAAAACAAUUUUAAUGAAUAGUUUGUGUUGUAGUGAUGAUAAUGAUACAUGGGGUGGGGCUUGGGUGAUGAUAUUUACGUGUGGUGUGACGUUGUAACGAAGGUAAUAAAGAAGAUUGUAUGUAAACAUUAUGUCAUUCUCAACUUUCCCAAGUCGUGUGUUCUUCAAUAAAGAUUCCGUUUGAUAGCAGC